GAAUACACAUAUUAUCUUCUAGAUAAUAUCUAUACUCAAAUAAAUCCUCAUCACAUUUAUUGAUACAUUAUUUUACAAAAAUUGUGAGGACUACUAAACAACUCUCUCUAGAACCUUCAUUCCAUACCCCGACUCGUACUCGCUAUAUUAUCGCCUUCUGAGAAGAAAAUGGAACAAAAAGGAAAAGGGUGAGCUCAACUAGCCCAGUAAAGAAUAUUAUGACUAAGAUAAUAUACAACAAAUUAUCGUUAGUCUUCAACAGGGAAAAAUCUAAUAGAAUACAAUAGACAACAAGUUUUAAAUCAAUAUUCGCAGCGGAAAUAAUAAUUCAUUAGAAGAGUUAAGUAGAGAA
rnacentral:lncRNA from 1 species